rfam:Aedes albopictus isolate Foshan contig59224, whole genome shotgun sequence.
GGGUUAGUGGUCUAGUGGCUACCGCUUCUGCUUCAUAUGCAGAAGGUCCUGGGUUCAAUCCCUAGCCUGUCCCU